AGUAAAUAGAUACCCGGGUAGUCCACGCCCUAAACGAUGUCAACUAGGUGUUGGGAGCGCAAGUUCUCAGUACCGCAGCUAAACGCGUGAAGUUGACCGCCUGGGGAGUACGGUCGCAAGAUUAAAACUCAAAGGAAUUGACGGGGACCCGCACAAGCGGUGGAUGAUGUGGAUUAAAUUCGAUGCAACGCGAACAAUCUUACCUACCCUUGACAUGUCUGGAACCCUGCUGAAAGGCGGGGGUUGCCCGAAAGGGAACCGGAACACAGGUGCUGCAUGGCUGUCGUCAGCUCGUGUCGUGAGAUGUUGGGUUAAGUCCCGCAACGAGCGCAACCCUUGUCCUUAGUUGCUACGCAAGGGCACUCUAAGGAGACUGCCGGUGACAAACCGGAGGAAGGUGGGGUAUGACGUCAAGUCCUCAUGGCCCUUAUGGGUAGGGCUUCACACGUCAUACAAUGGUCGGUACAGAGGGUAGCCAACCCGCGAGGGGUAGCCAAUCCCAGAAAGCCGAUCGUAGUCCGGAUCGCAGUCUGCAACUCGACUGCGUGAA
rnacentral:rRNA from 1 species